UACGGGGGGGGCAAGCGUUGUUCGGAAUUACUGGGCGUAAAGGGCUCGUAGGCGGCCAACUAAGUCAGACGUGAAAUCCCUCGGCUUAACCGGGGAACUGCGUCUGAUACUGGAUGGCUUGAGUUUGGGAGAGGGACGCGGAAUUCCAGGUGUAGCGGUGAAAUGCGUAGAUAUCUGGAGGAACACCGGUGGCGAAGGCGGCGUUCUGGACUGUUUCUGACACUGAAAAACGAAAGCCAGGGGAGCAAACGGG
rnacentral:rRNA from 1 species